CAAUAAACAAAACCACAUGUGUAGGAGAAACGAAUAGGAUAUACUAAGUGCUGAGAGACACUUUACAAUAUGUAACGCAAGAUAUUAACGUAUUUGUCAGCUUGGUAUAAACGCAAAACCUCAGCACUACUGGAUUUCUUGUUUUCUUUUAAUAAUUUGAAUGUUGUUAUCAAGAUAUGAAGAGAAGAGUUGACUGAAAGAUACAAGAAACUAAUGUCUUAACCAACAUUCAACCAUAAUGAAAUAUAUAUUUUAUAUUAUAUAAUGAUAAAAAAUGACGUCAUCACUCUGUACCCAUCUGCAAGAAGCCAAGAUGCUUUUCAGAUUUAUUUUAACGUAAUCUAAGUAUUAGAAACGUAAUCAAAGUAUUAGAAACGUGUCAGUAAUGUUAACAUAUGAAUACAAUAUCUUUAACAGUAAUUCAAAUACUGUACGUAAUUGAUUGAUGAAUUAGAUAGGCCUAUGGUAUAUGUAUUGUAUUAAUAAAUUUAUUCUGUAUGCCGGCAAAGAAUGGUACAGAGACUAGAAGACUAGAGGUACAGGUAAGUGGGUUGGUUAUUUACUCAAAGAUCUUAUAACAAAAUAGCGCUCUCACCUAUUUGUAAGCGUAAUGCAUGAAAGACUCGUAAAACUGCACCUUCUGCAAAAAAUAAUACAAAGCAAAACUUAUUUACUGUGCUGAAUUUUAUAAAUGGCGCUCCCUCCAAAACCUACACGUACUCGUAAUGCACAGAAAAUUUUUACGGAACUGGGGAUAAAAAGCCAAAUUUGUUUUACUGAAUGUUUUGUAGCACUCCUCCAAAAAAAGAAAAAUGCUAAGGCAAAUUCUUUUACUGAAUUUUAUAUAGAGCUCAUUACAAAAACCUUAUUUGUACACAUGCAAUAAAAACUUUCAUCCCAAUUUGUUAACUACUGGCAAACUUUAAAGGAACUGCACCCUGUGCAAAGAAAAGUAUGUGCAGCCAAUUUUGUUUACUAAAUUAAGAUAUGGUUCCUCCAAUAAUCUGUUAGUUGCAUAAUUCAUUGAAAAUUUCAUGAGACCAAAAAAUUGUUAUUUUAUAUAGGUCUCCCUCCAAAACUUAUUUGUACGGAUAAUGAAAUCAGACCUGCACAUUGCAAAAAUACUAUUGCGAGUUUGUUACAAGAUCUUUGAGCUACAUUGCAUUAGGUGCCCCCA